AAAGAUUUUUAAAGCAGCUAAGGGAGAUUACUCAUUGUUAUGCAUUCCUUAUAGGACUGUCACAGCUACAUGUGUAACAGCUAGUAUAUAAUCCAGACCUUUUGACCAUAUUAAAGGGUCUACUAUAUUAUACUACUCUACUGUUACCAUGGUUACUAUUAUUUAAUAAAAUACAACAAUGAA